rnacentral:rRNA from 1 species
UAGGGAAUCUUCCACAAUGGACGCAAGUCUGAUGGAGCAACGCCGCGUGAGUGAAGAAGGUCUUCGGAUCGUAAAACUCUGUUGUUAGAGAAGAACACGAGUGAGAGUAACUGUUCAUUCGAUGACGGUAUCUAAACCAGCAAGUCACGGCUAACUACGUGCCAG